rnacentral:misc_RNA from 1 species
GAUGAAGAACGCAGUGAAAUGCGAUAAGUAAUGUGAAUUGCAGAAUUCAGUGAAUCAUCGAAUCUUUGAACGCACAUUGCGCCCGCCAGUAUUCUGGCGAGCAUGCCUGUUCGAGCGUCAUUUCAACCAUCAAGCCCCAGGCUUGUGUUGGAGCCCUGCGGCUGCCGCAGCCUCCCAAAACCAGUGGCGGGCUCGCUAUCACACCGAGUGCAGUAGUUUACUCUUCGCUCAGGGCGUGUGGCGGGUGCUAGCCGUGAAACCCCCAACUUCUCAAGGUUGACCUCGGAUCAGGUAGGAAUACCCGCUGAACUUAAGCAUAUCAUAAGCGGAGGA